rnacentral:tRNA from 2 species
GGUCCUAUAGUGUAGUCGGUUAGCACAUGGGUUUUUGAUACCUGGGACCUGAGUUCGAGUCUCAGUAGGACCU